GAAUUUUUGAUUAACGCUUGCCUUAUGGCAAGCCACUUGGAAG
rnacentral:ncRNA from 3 species